UACGAAGGGCUCGACUGUUAUUCGUUUUGAUUGGGUGUAAAGGGUACGUAGGUGGUCUACCGGCAAUAUCGGGCCAAAGCGCGGGGUGUUCCCUUGCGAGAGCCAGAGUGUUAGUGGUACGACUUGUGUUAAAUUGGGGUUUAGGCAAAUUGGUACGUAGGGGUAGAAUCCAUCGAUGUACGAAUGAACGCCGGAUAGCAAAGGCGCUUUUCCUGUUUUAACAGACGCUAAGGUACGGAAGCGUAGGGAGCAAACGGG
rnacentral:rRNA from 1 species